CCUACGGGCGGCAGCAGUGGGGAAUAUUGCACAAUGGGGGAAACCCUGAUGCAGCGACGCCGCGUGAGCGAAGAAGUAUCUCGGUAUGUAAAGCUCUAUCAGCAGGGAAGAAAAUGACGGUACCUGACUAAGAAGCACCGGCUAAAUACGUGCCAGCAGCCGCGGUAAUACGUAUGGUGCAAGCGUUAUCCGGAUUUACUGGGUGUAAAGGGAGCGUAGACGGAGAAGCAAGUCUGGAGUGAAAACCCGGGGCUCAACCCCGGGACUGCUUUGGAAACUGUUUUUCUGGAGUGCCGGAGAGGUAAGCGGAAUUCCUAGUGUAGCGGUGAAAUGCGUAGAUAUUAGGAGGAACACCAGUGGCGAAGGCGGCUUACUGGACGGUAACUGACGUUGAGGCUCGAAAGCGUGGGGAGCAAACAGGAUUAGAUACCCCUGUAGUC
rnacentral:rRNA from 1 species